rnacentral:rRNA from 1 species
AGUUCGAUCUGGCUCAGAUUGAACGCUGGCGGGGAUGCUUUACGCGCAAGUCGAACAGCGGCACGGACUUCGGUCUGGUGGCGAGUGGCGGUGGGUGAGUAAUGUAUCGGAACGUGCCCUAUUGGCGAGGAUAACCCUGCGCGAAAGCGUAGCUAAUACCGCAUACGUAUCGAGGAAAGCGGGGGACCUUCCGGGCCUCGCUAUUAGAGCGGCCGAUAUCGGAUUGGCUGGUUGGUGAGGUAACGGCUCACCAAGGCGACGAUCCGUAGCUGGUUUGAGAGGACGACCAGCCACACUGGGACUGAGACACGGCCCAGACUCUACGGGAGGCAGCAGUGGGGGUACCUGGACAAUGGGAAACCUGAUCAGCCAUCCCGCGUGUGCGUGAAGGCCUUCCGGGUUGUAAGCACUUUUGGCAGGAAAGAAACGGCACGGGGAUAAUACCCCGUGCAACUGACGAACACCUGCAGAGAUAAGCACCGGCUAACUACGUGCCAGCAGCCGCGGUAAUACGUAGGGUGCAAGCGUUUAAUCGGAAUUACUGGGCGUAAAGCGUGCGCAGGCGGUUCCGGAAAGAAAGAUGUGAAAUCCGGAAAGCAACUUUGGAACUGCAUUUUAACUACCGGAAGCUAGAGUGUGUCAGAGGGAGGUGGAAUUCCGCGUGUGAAGUGAAAUGUGAAUCUGCGGAGGAACACCGAUGGCAGGAGGCAGCCUCUGGGAUCUUUGCAGUAACUCAUGCACGGCCACGAUGGGGAGCAAACAGGAUUAGAUACCCUGGUAAUUCCACGCCCUAAACGAUGUCAACUAGCUGUUGAGGCCUUCGGGCCUUGGUAGCGCAGCUAACGCGUGAAGUUGACCGCCUGGGAUGUUGGUCGCAAGAUUAAAACUCAAAGGAAUUGACGGGGACCCGCACAAGCGGUGGAUGAUGUGGAUUAAUUCGAUGCAACGCGAAAAACCUCUGUAAACGCUGUCCUGGAAUCCCGAAGAGAUUUGGGGUGCUCGCAAGAGAACCGGAACACAGGUGCUGCAUGGCUGUCGUCAGCUCUGAUGUCGUGAGAUGUUGGGUUAAGUCCACAACGAGCGCAACUCGCUGUCAUUAGUUGCUACGAAGGCAUCAAUGGACUGCUGCAGUGACAAACCGGAGAAGGUGGGGAUGACGUCAAGUCCUCAUGGCCCACUUAUGGGUAGGGCUUCACGUCAUACAAUGGUCAGGACAGAGGGUCGCCAGCCCGCGAGGGGAGCCAAUCCAGGAAACCCGAUCGUAGUCCGGAUCACAGUCUGCAACUCGACUGCGUGAAGUCGGAAUCGCUGAGCAAUCGCGGAUCAACAUGUCGCGGUGAAUACGUUCGGGUCUUAUUUCGCCCGUCACCAUGGGGUGGGUUUUACCAGAAGUAGUUAGCCUAACCCAUUGGGAGGGCGAUUACCACGGUAGGAUUCAUGACUGGGGUGAAGUCGUAACGAAAUUCAA